CACGUAGGGCGCAAGCGUUGUCCGGAAUUAUUGGGCGUAAAGAGCUCGUAGGCGGUCUGUUGCGUCCGCUGUGAAAACUCGGGGCUUAACCCCGAGCCUGCAGUGGAUACGGGCAGACUAGAGGUAGGUAGGGGAGAAUGGAAUUCCCGGUGUAGCGGUGAAAUGCGCAGAUAUCGGGAGGAACACCCGUGGCUAAGGCGGCUCACUGGACCAUAACUGACGCUGAUGCACGAAAGCUAGGGGAGCAAACAGG
rnacentral:rRNA from 1 species